rnacentral:rRNA from 1 species
UACAAGCAGUGGGAGCACCUUCGUGGUGUGACUGCGUACCUUUUGUAUAAUGGGUCAGCGACUUAUAUUUUGUAGCAAGGUUAACCGUAUAGGGGAGCCGUAGGGAAACCGAGUCUUAACUGGGCGAUUAGUUGCAAGGUAUAGACCCGAAACCCGGUGAUCUAGCCAUGGGCAGGUUGAAGGUUGGGUAACACUAACUGGAGGACCGAACCGACUAAUGUUGAAAAAUUAGCGGAUGACUUGUGGCUGGGGGUG